CAGAUAGUAACUCAUUGUCAGAACGCUGUCAGCGCUCGGCCCCUGCAUUAGUGGCUUUUGAAGAGAGGGACUGUUGACGUGGGCAGGGUGCCAGCCAAGAGGAAAAACAGGCCUACUGCCCCACACGGCACUUAACCUGACCUCUCCCCUCAGGAUGUGGAGAAAAAGGAGGAGUGUGAGUGUGUGUUGCCGUGUGUACGUGUGCACAUGUGUAUACAUGCGUGGCGAUCCCCUGCGGCCUCACUCCCAGCUCCCAGCCAGGCAGUAGAGCUUUUGGGGAGUCCACCUGUGAUGGAUCCAAAUCCAGCAACGCAACUCAGCUGUUGUGCUGAAAAACCUCUCCACUUGGUUUCACAGUGGCCUAAAGCCAGUUCUGAGAGUCAUGCUUGGUUCAGAAACAAGCUAGUGGGAAAAGAAAUGUUGAGGACAGGCUCAUGAAUACUUAUGCCACAGUAAUUAAACUCUUUUGGCUGCACUGUGCUCUCUUUUUCCUCCUCCUGUUUGUCUUUUUGCCCCUCGCAACGUCAUAGACAGAAACACACAUACCUUCUUCCCUCUAAAGGACAGAACAGACUGGCAAGCAGAGGGACGGUAGAAUUCACCAAGGCUAUCAGGAAUUCCAAGACAAACCUUGGACACCUUUACUGUGCAGCACCUGUGCCAGCAGCAAUGCACAUCUGCCUUGCAUCUGCUCAUUGCAGGUGAUUAGCGAGAUGAUAUGGUGUAUUCUCCGCCAUCUAAAUGCUACCCUGCAGUAAAUGUACCUGGUGUUUCUCUACAUUACAGACAGCACUUACCUAAAACAUACAAUUUAGUAAUAAGGGGAGUUUUAAAGACAGAAUGUGUGUAAAAAUCAUGUUCUCCAUCUGUCCUGUAAGUCUUUAGAACAAUAAAAAGCAAUCAUAUCUU